rnacentral:lncRNA from 1 species
GACCAGACCCUCCACGCACACCCAAGCAUCUUGCAGAGGGAUUCCCCUCCUGAUCGCAGCCUGCCCAGGCCGUUGGCACUGUGGUGACCACGUCACCGAACAUGUGAGACUGGGCAGCUGUGCGCCUGAACUUGUGAUAAGCUCUCCAGCGCCCCCUGCCCCCGAAGCUGGCUGGAAGGAAGGUGGGAGACACCUGUUGGGUGGCUGAGAGCGGCAGAGCCCACAUGGGCCUCUCCCCAUGCGCCCCGCCCGCCCUGUCCGGCUCGGGUCCCGCCCCCGCGGCCCC